AUUCGAAACAUAAUCUCUGAUGUUUGUGUUGAUGUCUGUGCUGAGGCUUGCCGUUUAAAUUGAAAAUAUGUGGGAGUGAUUGAGGGAUGCUGUGCUUUGCUAGAAACUGCAGCACACACACAGACAGCAGUGACGCUCAAGGUGUUGGAUAGAAAAACCUUUCACUUUUUUUGCAUUUGAGAAGGUGCUAUGAAGAAGCAGAAUCAACAGGGGCUGAAGUAAUGACGGGAAAACUGAACUGUUUGUUGUGUCAUCAGGCAGAUAGCACAUGAAUUACCAGAUGUGAUCCAAUAAACUCCAAGACCAGCACACAAAAAUUGGAAGAUGGAACUGUUGUCCUGUUGAAAAGCUUUUGAAGAAAGAGAUAAUGCAGCAGUGAAACAUCUGGAGCAAACUUCAACCAACACUGACAAUCAAGAUUGUGUGACUCGAUCAGUUUGGCUUCGAAAAAAAUGGAAAAAAAAUCUUGUUAAUAGCAGAGAAUGCAUAUUCACAUGUGAAAUCCCCACUUUGCUUUAAGCUUUACUUCAGAUAAUCUGAUGUUGCAGCAACUGAAGUGCUUUUGAGUGUGGUAUUAUGGAUAUGAACAUUUUGUGAUGUAAUGUACCUGAAGUAUAAUGUUUCUUCAAGAAACUGAAAUAGUAUUUUGUAAAAAAAAAAAGAAAAUUACAAAAAAUUAGCUUGAAAUGCAUAUUGAUUCUAAUUAUAAAAAUAAUUCAACAAUUUGUUUUAUUUGAAUAGUAUUUUCUGUACUACACUGCAUAAAAACAAGGUGAAUAUUUACAUGUGGAUACUACCAUAUAAAAAUAUGAAGACAGCAGUGUGCAGUAGUACGUGACAUUUGCUAUGCUGUUUACGGUAGUCAGAAUGGAAGGCAGAAGAGGUUUGACCACAUUUAGUUUUUUGGUGUGUAGAUGAUUUAUUACAUUAUUUAAAGCAUAAAAUUCCAGUCAAAAAACGUUGACAAUUAAAAUACAUAAAUCCUUUGUAGUGACUUGAACCAUACAGCUUAGAAUAAAAUUGAAGAUAUAAGUUUU